rnacentral:rRNA from 1 species
GAUUAACGCUAGCGGCAGGCAUAAUACAUGCAAGUUGAACGGGAUUAGUUUAGCAAUAGACUAUGAGAGUGGCGCACGGGUGCGUAACACGUAUGCAACCUGCCCCUGACAGGAGGAUAGCCUCUCGAAAGAGAGAUUAAUAUUCCAUAACAUAUAGGUAGAGCAUUCUAUUUAUAUCAAAGCUCCGGCGGUCAGGGAUGGGCAUGCGGUUGAUUAGCUAGUUGGUGAGGUAACGGCUCACCAAGGCGACGAUCAAUAGGGGGUCUGAGAGGAUGUCCCCCCACACUGGUACUGAGACACGGACCAGACUCCUACGGGAGGCAGCAGUAGGGAAUAUUGGUCAAUGGAGGCAACUCUGAACCAGCCAUGCCGCGUGCAGGAAGACUGCCCUAUGGGUUGUAAACUGCUUUUGUACGGGAAGAAACCUCACUACGUGUAGUGAGUUGACGGUACCGUAAGAAUAAGGAUCGGCUAACUUCGUGCCAGCAGCCGCGGUAAUAC